GAUGAAGAACGUAGCAAAAUGCGAUAAGUAAUGUGAAUUGCAGAAUUCAGUGAAUCAUCGAAUCUUUGAACGCACAUUGCGCCCGCUGGUAUUCCGGCGGGCAUGCCUGUUCGAGCGUCAUUUCAACCCUCAAGCCCCCGGGUUUGGUGUUGGGGAUCGGCUCUGCCCUUCUGGGCGGUGCCGCCCCCGAAAUACAUUGGCGGUCUCGCUGCAGCCUCCAUUGCGUAGUAGCUAACACCUCGCAACUGGAACGCGGCGCGGCCAUGCCGUAAAACCCCAACUUCUGAAUGUUAACCUCGGAUCAGGUAGGAAUACCCGCUGAACUUAAGCAUAUCAAUAAGCGGAGGA
rnacentral:misc_RNA from 1 species